CGCCGCCGCCGCCGCCGGCGCUUUGGCCCCCGGAGUCAGCGCAUCGGCUUUGCCUGCGGAAGACACCAGGUAGCCCCGGUUCCCCUUCACUUCGUAACUCAGCACACAGGAUGCUAAGGCUGGCCUUCACAGAUCUGAAACAUAGAGAGAGAGGAGGAAAAGAUAAUUAAAUCCUGGAGGAAGCAUCUUGGUUUGGGAGAAAGAAUACUGGACUCCAUGUUCUUGGGCAGCAGUGCCAGGAUGCUAGAUGAUUUCUUUGUUGGAUUCCUCUCCAAUCCACCCUCAGUCAGGUUGAAGAAAUAAGAACAGAAACCCCUUCCCAGCUGAGAACUCUGCUCUGCAGGUUUCUGCGCCAGAGAAAGAAACAGAAGUCCAGAGAAUGACCAUGUGACUUGCUAAAUGGCUAAUACAUUGCUAAUACAAUGUUCAAGGUUAGAUUAACUAGAUCUUCCUAUCUUCCUGACUCUGAAUACAGCAUCCUACCUACUACUCUAUGAGGCUAAGUAAAUAUGCUUUUCUUGAAGUUGCCUGAAUAUUUUGAAGACAUUUGAAAUGGUUUGGAAUAGGGAAUUUUUUUUAUGGGGGGUGGUAGUGGGAGGAAUAUAAGUGGGGAGAGUGCCUUGGAAUGGACUGUGAAGAGGAGGAAGAAUCUGGGUCAGAGAUUCAAUCACCACCAACAGAAGGCAAAAAGAAUAGAAGGCAGCAAUUAAAAUUCAACUCAUGGCAUGGAUUUCAAUAAGUUGGAUUUGGGAGUGGAGAGGAUGCCUAAACUUCUGGGCCUGUUUUGUAAGAGUUUCUCCCUCUCUCUUCUAGCUCCCUAGGACUUAAAUGUUUCACAUGCCAAGAAUAGGAGACACAAAGUCUUCCUCUCCUUUCCUCACCUCCUCCUCACCCAGUCUUAGACACAUUUUAAGGAGUCGAUCUGUCCUAAGUGGACACUUCACCUAAGGCAAAGGGACCUAACUACCUAAAAAUGUGGCAAACACUCCAAAUUAAGAAUGGAACAAUUGCCUGGGUCACCUUCUACACUAGUGAAUUAGUCUCAAGCUUCUCUCAUACUGCAGGAAUAGAAAAUGGAGACAAACCCUAAAGGUUAGAUGAAAAUGGGACUGGAGAUCUGUCUCUAUUUUGUGGCUGCACAGUGAGAUCAGAAGGGACAAUCCUAUAACACAUAAAGAGAUGAAGGAAAGCCGUGAAAGCAGAGCUCUUAUUAUUCUGGCUCUGUCCAAAGAUCCUCACCCCGGUUAUAAACCUUUACCUUUUGCUUUUUGGAAUAUCUUAUCAAUUUCUCCUUUCCUUUAACAUCUUAGCUGCCAUGUCUUGUGUGAUCCUGAGCAUGUCUUUCCUUGGUCCCAUCUUGGUACACAUCCUUUUUUUUUUUUUUAAACUACAUGAAGUACUUUUUCUUUAACCUGGAAACUCUGAAUGUUGGCUCUGAUGUUCCUAAGAAGUUUUCAUUUUGGGGUAACCAAUGGUUUUUUCUAUCUUUUUUACUUUACCCUUAAGUUAUAAUGCAUCUGGACAGUUUUUAUUUAUGAUUUUUCAGAUGUAAUAAUAAUUCUUGAUUAUAACUCCUAGACUUGUUUUUCAGACCAGAUUUAGUAUACAUUGUAUUUUCUUUUUUUCCUCCCAGUCUUCUAAUUUU